rnacentral:hammerhead_ribozyme from 1 species
AUAAAGCUGACGAAUCCUAAACAGGACGAGACACGCGUGCUGUAU